ensembl:lncRNA
GCUCUGAGGGCACACAGUGUGUUGUAGAUAUGUGGUAGUGGUGGAGUAGGGGCCUGAGGGCACACAGUGUGUUGUAGAUAUGUGGUAAUGGUGGACUAGGGGCCUGAGGGCACACAGUGUGUUGUAGAUAUGUGGUAGUGGUGGACUAGGGGCCUGAGGACACACAGUGUGUUGUAGAUAUGUGGUAGUGGUGGAGUAGGGGCCUGAGGGCACACAGUGUGUUGUAGAUAUGUGGUAAUGGUGGACUAGGGGCCUGAGGGCACACAGUGUGUUGUAGAUGUGUGGUAGUGGUGGAGUAGGGGCCUGAGGACACACAGUGUGUUGUAGAUGUGUGGUAGUGGUGGACUAGGGGCCUGAGGGCACACAGUGUGUUGUAGAUAUGUGGUAGUGGUGCAGUAGGGGCCUGAGGGCACACAGUGUGUUGUAGAUAUGUGGUAGUGGUGGAGUAGGGGCCUGAGGGCACACAGUGUGUUGUAGAUAUGUGGUAGUGGUGGAGUAGGGGCCUGAGGGCACACAGUGUGUUGUAGAUGUGUGGUAGUGGUGGACUAGGGGCCUGAGGGCACACAGUGUGUUGUAGAUAUGUGGUAGUGGUGGUGUAGGGGCCUGAGGGCACACAGUGUGUUGUAGAUGUGUGGUAGUGGUGGAGUAGGGGCCUGAGGGCCACAGUGUGUUGUAGAUAUGUGGUAGUGGUGGACUAGGGGCCUGAGGGC